UGGAUCCCCACUUUGAUUAUGGCUCAGGACGAACGCUGGCGGCGUGCUUAACACAUGCAAGUCGAACGGAGAACGUUCUUCGGAAUGUUCUUAGCGGCGAACGGGUGAGUAACGCGUAGGCAACCUGCCCUCUGGUUGGGGACAACAUUCCGAAAGGGAUGCUAAUACCGAAUGUGAUCCUCUUUCCGCAUGGAGAGAGGAUGAGAGAUGGCCUCUACUUGUAAGCUAUCGCCAGAAGAUGGGCCUGCGUCUGAUUAGCUAGUAGGUGGGGUAACGGCUCACCUAGGCGAUGAUCAGUAGCCGGUCUGAGAGGAUGAACGGCCACAUUGGGACUGAGACACGGCCCAAACUCCUACGGGAGGCAGCAGUGGGGAAUCUUCCGCAAUGGACGAAAGUCUGACGGAGCAACGCCGCGUGAGUGAUGAAGGUCUUCGGAUUGUAAAACUCUGUUGUCAGGGACGAAUGCACCGAUCUAUUAUACAUUUUGGUGUUGACGGUACCUGACGAGGAAGCCACGGCUAACUACGUGCCAGCAGCCGCGGUAAUACGUAGGUGGCAAGCGUUGUCCGGAAUUAUUGGGCGUAAAGAGCAUGUAGGCGGGCUUUUAAGUCCGACGUGAAAAUGCGGGGCUUAACUCCGUAUGGCGUUGGAUACUGGAAGUCUUGAGUGCAGGAGAGGAAAGGGGAAUUCCCAGUGUAGCGGUGAAAUGCGUAGAUAUUGGGAGGAACACCAGUGGCGAAGGCGCCUUUCUGGACUGUGUCUGACGCUGAGAUGCGAAAGCCAGGGUAGCAAACGGGAUUAGAUACCCCGGUAGUCCUGGCCGUAAACGAUGGGUACUAGGUGUAGGAGGUAUCGACCCCUUCUGUGCCGGAGUUAACGCAAUAAGUACCCCGCCUGGGGACUACGAUCGCAAGAUUGCAACUCAAAUGAAUUGACG
rnacentral:rRNA from 2 species